UGGCAUAUUCAAGAAAGGGUCUCACUUCUCCAAUGGGAAAAAGAAGCAGAGAAAUUGCGUGUUAUUUCUUAUUUGGUGCUGUUUACGUUGAUGCUGCGGAGAUGCAAGUAUGCAGCGGCCGGCGUGGCCAGUCAACAUUGGUGCACACACAACUUUUGUGGAGGAGAAACGUGUGCCGCAGUCCGCGUCAUCUAAAGGCUUAUGUUUGUCUGUGUGUGCUUUGUUUAUGUGAGUUGUGAUGUUGCUUUCUCCUUUCUGAUACUGCAAAAGAAAAAUAUUAUUAAUGCUGUCAGCGUAGCUGCUCAUCUCGCCGCCGCAGAGAUGACAUCGUGUGCCAGGCAGCGGCCAGUCUGGCCCGUCCGGCAUGAUGCAAGCGUUCAGACUGUGGCGGGUGAAGAAAUGCGCCGCAGCCCAUCGACGUCUGCAGGAAACGCUCCGACUUGGAACGUCGGUGACUGCCAUCCCGGAUGAUUGCCCAGUGGCCAAGUAAGGAGUCGGAAAAGCAGUGAACGGCAGGCUCGCCAUUGCACUCAGCAGGAGUCCGUAAGGAAGGAUCUGUCCGAGGGAAAAUCGACGUCUCAUAAUUCGCCUAUUGCACAACUGCUGUUGCCGCCGAUGGUGGCGACCGCGUCUCCGCUGUUGCUGCUGCUGGUGGUGCCCGCGUCGCUGCUGCUGCCGCUGCUGGUGGUGACUGCGACGCUGCUGCUGG